rnacentral:other from 1 species
GGUAUCCUGCGGUGUUCGCCACAAGAGUUUUAUCGUAUCCACAAAUCAAAAUAAGGGAGCGCUUUCGUCUGUCCCGAUACGCAAAUGCCCGCGGUCGUGUCUUGCGUGCAGACCAUAUAAUUACGGGAAAACGGAUUCGGGAAGCAGCACACCCACCUGCAAUAAAGCGGGUUGAUUAUACUCUUGAACGGCACAGGCAGGAUAGUA